rnacentral:tRNA from 1 species
GCCUGGGUGGCUCAGUCGGUUGAGCCUCCGACUUCGGCUCAGGUCAUGAUCUCGCGGUCUGUGGGUUCGAGCCCCGCGUCGGGCU